CCUACGGGAGGCAGCAGUGGGGGAUAUUGCACAAUGGGGGAAACCCUGAUGCAGCGACGCCGCGUGGGCGAAGAAGUAUUUCGGUAUGUAAAGCCCUAUCAGCAGGGAAGAAGAAAUGACGGUACCUGAGUAAGAAGCACCGGCCAAAUACGUGCCAGCCGCCGCGGUUAUACGUAUGGUGCAAGCGUUAUCCGGAAUUACUGGGUGUAAAGGGAGCGCAGGCGGGAAUGGAAGGCGGAUGUGAAAGCCCUGGGCCCAACCGCUAGACUGCAUUGGGAACUGCUGGGCUGGAGUGCCGGAGAGGUAGGCGGAAUUCCUAGUGUAGCGGUGAAAUGCGUAGAUAUUAGGAGGAACACCAGUGGCGAAGGCGGCCUACUGGACGGUGACUGACGCUGAGGCGCGAAAGCGUGGGGAGCAAACAGGAUUAGAUACCCUGGUAGUC
rnacentral:rRNA from 1 species